rnacentral:tRNA from 1 species
CGCGGGGUGGAGCAGUCAGGUAGCUCGUCAGGCUCAUAACCUGAAGGUCAUCAGUUCGCAUCUGAGCCCCGCUA